ensembl:lncRNA
CUUGCUCACUCUGAUGCUGAUGUGUGUGUGUCGCCUGGGUCUGACGUCUCUCUCUCUCUCUCUCUCUCUCUCUCUGUACAUCUCUGAGUGUGUGUGUAAACAGGAUGAUGGAAGCUCACUCUCGUCCUCAAACCAUCACAUCAUCGUAAGUAACACACUGUGACGUUUGCGUACGUCAUGCAGCUCGAUGAAACAGACAGUGUAUUUGCUGAUCUGAACUCGGUGAUUCCUGAGACAGAGCUGCUGGAUAACAGCAUACAGAAGAGCCGAGCACCGCUACCGCUGAAGAGCAGGAGGAACCGACCAUCACGCUCGCGUCUCACUGACAGCCUGAGCUCCACCGAGGGGACGAGGGGCCCGACACCAGGUGUUGGUGUCAGAUGAAGUCAGGAUGAUAAUAUAGUCCCGAGUCCGACAGUCCCACUGUGGUUUCUGGAUAAAAACCAAACGGAGGUUCCUGGAUUUGGGUUUGAGUGUG